AUUGAACGCUGGCGGCCGGCCUAACACAUGCAAGUCGAGCGGAGCGGCGGACGGGUGAGUCAUUCCUAUGAAUCUGCCUGGUAGUGGGGGAUAACGUCCUGAAACGGGCGCUAAUACCUCAUCCUAUCUGAUGAGCCUAGGUCGGAUUAGCUAGUUGGUGGGGUAAAGGCCUACCAAGGCGACGAUCCGUAACUGGGCUGAGUGGAUGAUCAGUCACACGGGAACUGAGAAACGGUCCAGACGCAUACGGGAGGCAGCAGUGGGGAAUAUUGGACAAUGGGGGAAAGCCUGAGCCAGCCAUGCCGCGUGUAUGAAGAAGGUCUUAGGAUUGUAAAGCACUUUAAGUUGGGAGGCGUUACCAACAGAAUAAGCACCGGCUAACUUCGUGCCAGCAGCCGCGGUAAUAC
rnacentral:rRNA from 1 species